AGGAAGAGAACGACAUGGAGGAGUUAGCAGUACAGUCUAUAGUUGCGGCGGAGUUGGAGGCGGCUGGGAUGCCCCUUUCACUUAAAAACCUUGAAGAAAUGGAGGAGAACAAGAGAAUACAAACUCACACUAUUGUUUAGGGUAGUCAGUAUUUAUCUUUUGCGAAACUACGCUACUUCCGCUAAGCACUCUGAACUGUGCCGCAGCGAAGCUCCAAACUCCUCCAAGUAACACAUUAGGCGCUCAUGCUCUGCUGGAAUUCGUUUUUUUUUCUUUUUAUUUUUUAAAUCUGUCAAUUUAUGAGAGCUUAAAGCACACUUGUCCUCUGUUUUCGACUAGCAGUUAGGAAUGUCAGCUUAGUAAAUUUAUGACAUCGUUGUCAUACACUGUAAUGUGACAUUUAUUUAUGUCGUUACAUUAAGUAGCCUAUGUUUGUAUAGACGUUUCAGUGAUGGUUCUAAAGCAUAUUGUAGAAUAUCUUUAGCAAUAUAAUGAGGAAUUCUAACGGUGGCAGUGAAGUAUAAAGGGUAAAAGGAACAGGUCUUCUAACCUAAAGGUCACAGGUUCGAUUCCCGGAUAGGACACUGUCAUUGUAAUUCUGAGCAAGAGAGGCUGGGGACGUCUUUGAGGAAAAUGGCCGCUGCGCAUUCCCAGGAUGUAGAAUCGCAAUAUGACCUACACGGCACGCCGUUUUAUUUUUUAUCUUUGCUUGCGGGGUCCCCUGGGGUACAGAGCUCCCUACACAUGCAGUACAUGUCAAACUGGACAGGAGAAAUGGAACAAGGGGCUUAAUCUCAACUCUUUGUACAUUUCUCCUUUGAGCCUCCUGCAGACCCCUUGCAAUUCACUGUGUGGGAUAAAGAUCUAUCCAUUAGUGAUGACGAAAUCCCUUGGUAUACUAUUUGGAGUAAUCUGUUAUAUGUGUCUAAAAUCCUGAUCAUCAGCUUUCUCACGUGCUGAUAAUUCUGAUUGGCAAAUUUUGAAAAAGCAGGGGGCAAUUGGUUUUGAACUUUGGGACCUUUUGACCACAGUGAAGCGACUGUUAAUCUGUGCUAUUCUGUUCUGCCUGUUACUUUAUGUUCUGUUUUAUCCACCUGUCAGUUGUGUCUUUAUCCCUUGAGAGGAGAGUAUUUGCUCAUUUUCCUUUGACAAUAAGAGCCUAGGCUGGAGUGAGAUACUCAUUUCUGGCCCUGUGAAGGAACACAAUGAGAAAUGAUAGCAAGGUUUGAUUGACAGCUCUCCUGGGCUGGAAAAUUGGGGUAUAAAUGUCUCAAGGACUGUUGUGGUGUGAACAUUCAGUGAGAAAUGUUUCCCAUUAACGGCAGUUGCUGGGAUUCUGGAGGAAAGGAGAGAGAAAUAACACUAGGCAGAGCUGAAAGUUACUUACACCAGCUCAUGGUCAAUAUCUGUCCAUCUGAAGACCGUGAUGAGAUGAUUUUGCAAACUGGCAUGAGGAAUGAUUGUGAAAACGAAUAAGGUUUUUAGGUUCCAUCAAUGAGAAUUUCUUUCCAAUUCAAAUUUGAAAUCGGAAUGCUGGAGGUUUAUUGGAAAUUACAGUUCAUAUUUUAGAAUUAAAUCAACUUCUAAAUUCUGAAUUGACCUCAACCCCAAACCUAUGAAAUCACAAAAACCAUGUGCAAGUUUUAUUUUACAACAAUGUUUAUUUUGUUUUAGUGAUCAUACAUUAUAAGUGAGUCAUUGAUAGUGAGUAUGUGUUUCUAUUUAAAACUGUUAAAAAGAUGUUUAAAAACCCUUCUGUGUAUGCUCUAAAAGGUUUCUCUGUAUGGCAAGCUGCAGAAUCUAGGCUUUGUUUUUCACGUAAAAUAUUAAAAUCAAUAAAUUUCAUACCUUAAUGUACUGACACAAAAACACACAGAUUUUGAUUUUGAUAAAUAGAUUUUGAUCCAAGAAUGACUAUACUUUCAGUAGAAAAACAUUGUAGUUAAACAAUGUUAUAAAAUAGUCUUUCCCUGAGAAGAAAAAAGGUUUUUCCUGAUGGAAGUCUUCACUCUAUUGUAAUAAAUAAAAGUGUUGACAUAGUGCAUUGAGCAUCCCAAACUCCCACAUUCUAGAAGAGAAUAAAUAGGAAUCAAUAUAAAAAUAUAAAUUCGUGGUUACAAUAGUUCCCAAUCAAAAUCUUCAAUUUAAUAUCAAAAUACCCAUAAGAUAAAAUAUUGAGGUGAGAGGUUUUUGUAAAAAGCAAAAAACAAGCUGUGCUCAUUUGUGAUUACAGAAAUCUGCCAGCCUCUACACCUACUUA